AUUGAACGCUGGCGGCAGGCCUAACACAUGCAAGUCGAACGAGCGGCGGACGGGUGAGUAAUGUAUGGGGACUGCCCUAUGGAGGGGGAUAACUACUGGAAACGGUGGCUAAUACCGCGUACUAUCGGCUAACCCAACUGGGAUUAGAUAGUAGGUGGGGUAAUGGCUCACCAAGGCGACGAUCUCUAGCUGGUCUGAGAGGAUGAUCAGCCACACCGGGACUGAGACACGGCCCGGACUCCUACGGAGGCAGCAGUGGGGAAUAUUGCGCAAUGGGGGCAAGCCUGAUGCAGCCAUGCCGCGUGUAUGAAGAAGGCCUUAGGGUUGUAAAGUUCUUUCAGUCGGGAGGCGUUACUGACAGAAGAAGCACCGGCUAACUCCGUGCCAGCAGCCGCGGUAAUUC
rnacentral:rRNA from 1 species